UUCUUCUUCUUCUUCUUCUUCUUCUUCUUCUUCUCUUUUUCUUUCAACGUAGUUAUUAUUCAAGUUCUUUCAAAAUAGUUGUCAUCUAUCUAAAAAGAUUCAAGAAAUGUUCCUUGUGUAGUGUUUAAGCAGAUCGAAGUUAAUUUUUAUUCAUAAGUUCAUCUUCUCCUCAAUUAAGAAGAAGAAAAAAAUUCAAGAUUUUGAAAAUUUCUUAUUUAAGAUAAAUUUGUUGGUGUAGUUGUUGGUUAUUGCUGAAAUUCAUGUUUAUGUAAUUUGUGUGUUUUCAAAUGUGUUUGAUUUUGGAUAAAAACUGCACUAUUGUUGAUUCGAAAUCUAGGAGAAAAAAAAAAAGCUGAAUUUUUGCUUCAUACACGAUCUUUCAAAUAUAGCUAAAACUUUGGAAAAAUAACUGCUAAAAAUUGCCGGGAAAAUAUGACUGUUGAACUGGUCUUUUAUAUUAUAUAUAGAU
rnacentral:lncRNA from 1 species